CGGAGGGUGCAAGCGUUGUUCGGAAUUACUGGGCGUAAAGCGCGUGCAGGUGGUUUUUUAAGUUUCAUGUGAAAGCCCACGGCUUAACCGUGGAAUAGCAUGGAAAACUGGAAGACUUGAAUACGGGAGAAGAGGGCGGAAUUCCCAGUGUAGAGGUGAAAUUCGUAGAUAUUGGGAGGAACACCGGUGGCGAAAGCGGCUCUCUAGACCGAUAUUGACGCUCAUACGCGAGAGCGUGGGUAGCAAACAGGAUUAGAUACCCUGGUAGUCCACGCUGUAAACGAUGGAUGCUAGGUGUUGCGGGAGUUGACCCCUGCAGUGCCGAAGCCAACGCAUUAAGUGCCCCGCCUGGGGAGUACGGCCGCAAGGCUA
rnacentral:rRNA from 1 species